CAGUAGCCACGGGAAUACGUAGGGUGCAAGCGUUGUCCGGAAUUAUUGGGCGUAAAGAGCUCGUAGGCGGUUUGUCGCGUCUGCUGUGAAAACCCGAGGCUCAACCUCGGGCCUGCAGUGGGUACGGGCAGACUAGAGUGCGGUAGGGGAGAUUGGAAUUCCUGGUGUAGCGGUGGAAUGCGCAGAUAUCAGGAGGAACACCGAUGGCGAAGGCAGAUCUCUGGGCCGUAACUGACGCUGAGGAGCGAAAGCAUGGGGAGCGAACAGGAUUAGAUACCCCAGUAGUCCCUGUCUCUUAUAA
rnacentral:rRNA from 1 species